rnacentral:rRNA from 1 species
AUGCAGUAUUGGUCCUUGGAAGGGAUUGAGGAGAUCCUCGGGAAGAAGGUGCGCAUCGACCGCCUCGACAGCAGGACGCAAGAGCGCGGCCACACGAAGACAUUUGCCUGCUGGGUCUGGACGAACGACGUCGCCCACAUCCCCACCAAGCACAUGCUCGGGGUCCUGCCGCGUGGCGCGGGACGCGUCUAG